GCCAUGAACGAAAGUUUGACUAAGCCAUGUUAACACAAAGGGUUGGUAAAUUUCGUGCCAGCCACCGCGGUCAUACGAUUAACCCGAAUCAAUAGGCAAACGGCGUAAAACGUGUUAAGGAUUACACCGUACUAAAGUUAAAAUUUAACAAGGCCGUAAAAAGCUACUGUUAAUAUAAAAUAGACCACGAAAGUGACUUUACUACUUCCAACAACACGAUAGCUGAGAUCCAAACUGGGAUUAGAUACCCCACUAUGCUCAGCCCUAAACAUAAAUAGUUCUAACAACAAAACUAUCUGCCAGAGAACUACUAGCAACAGCUUAAAACUCAAAGGACUUGGCGGU
rnacentral:rRNA from 1 species